rnacentral:lncRNA from 1 species
UUACAAAUUAGAUGGCCCAAGUACGUUCCUCUUUCACGAAAGUGACAAAUAGAUAUCAGAUUCUGCAAAUGAAGACCAAACGAGGUAUGAAAGGGUGAAACCUUGAAGUUCAUAUCGUACAUGAUCCACCCCCCGAAUUCCUAGCAACACUUUACGUACCUAAAAGUAGGGUGAGACGAUUGAUGACAAGCUCCUCUAGGUAGUUGUCAUUGUAUUUGACGGACCGUUGUCAAUGGCACGGGAGGCAUGACACAAGUACGUUGCUCUUUCACCGAAGUGAUAAAUAGAUAUCGGAUUCCGCAAAUGAAGACCAAAACAGGUAUGAUAGGGUGAAACCUUGAAGUUCAUAUCGUACAUGACCCACCCCC